rnacentral:tRNA from 1 species
UCCCGUGUAGUUCAGCUGGUAAAGAAUCUGCCUACAAUGCAGGAGACCUGGGUUCAAUUCCUGGUUUGGGAA